rnacentral:rRNA from 1 species
CCUACGGGCGGCAGCAGUGGGGAAUAUUGGACAAUGGGCGAAAGCCUGAUCCAGCCAUGCCGCGUGUGUGAAGAAGGCCUUCGGGUUGUAAAGCACUUUCAGUGGGGAAGAAAGCCUUGGGGCUAAUACCCUCGAGGAAGGACAUCACCCACAGAAGAAGCACCGGCUAACUCCGUGCCAGCAGCCGCGGUAAUACGGAGGGUGCGAGCGUUAAUCGGAAUUACUGGGCGUAAAGCGCGCGUAGGCGGUCUGAUAAGCCGGUUGUGAAAGCCCCGGGCUCAACCUGGGAACGGCAUCCGGAACUGUCAGGCUAGAGUGCAGGAGAGGAAGGUAGAAUUCCCGGUGUAGCGGUGAAAUGCGUAGAGAUCGUGAGGAAUACCAGUGGCGAAGGCGGCCUUCUGGACUGACACUGACGCUGAGGUGCGAAAGCGUGGGUAGCAAACAGGAUUAGAUACCCGAGUAGUC